CCUGGCUCGCUAGCCAGAGGUGGGUGCACUGGGCUAGAGGGCGGCUGGUCUCAACCAUGUCCUCAGCAAUGGAUGGAAGCCAGGAAGAGAAAACGCAGAACCUGCCAGAUGGGGCCUGGAAUUGACACAGCACAUCUGCCUUCAGCUCCUAAUGCGAUGUGCCUUCUGGGUGCCUAAGUGACCUCUGGAUCCCUCCUAAGGUCCCUGAACAGCCCAGCAAGCAGGAAGUUAACAGUGCCCCGAGUGGCCCGGGGAAGGGGAAGCCAGGACAUGCCAGUGUCUGCACUGUAUAGUCUGUGUCACCCUGCCCCUAGAUCCCCAGACUGGACCGAAUAUUAAAGCUGAGGAGGAACUCAAGCAAGGUCACAAGGGGUAAACUGAGUCCUGGUCCUCACACCGUCCUGUGAGUUCAACAUGGUGACCUUUGAAAAGUCAUCAGGAAACAAUCUGUUCAUUGGUCAGAACUGGCCACAUGGUGCAGCCUUACUUUAAGGAGGAAGUUAAGACUCCCCAGUGCCCAGGAAGGAAGAACCAAAUACAGGCAUUCCCAGAGAAGAAGAAAUACAUCUGUUUCAUCCAUGAGAGAAGUGAAGUUCACAGAGAACGCAGAGUGGCUGGAUGGCUUUGGAGGUGGAAGAUGAGGACAGGUGUGCGCUACAAGUGGCUGCUGGGAUCUGAAGUCUUUGGAGAGGCUGCAGUCACCAAGUCCCUUCUCUAAAGAAGAUAAGGAUGCCUGCGAGCCUCAAGACACAGGACUCUUAAGAGGAAGCCAGGGCACCUGUAGUCAUGGAAGCCACCGGGAAACGGGAAGUGGCUGGAUCUGAGGUCGGUAUGUCCCUCCACUUUCUCAGGUCUCCUCGUUUAAUCUGAAGAGAGGCUACCUAAAACUGGAGGAGGCAGGCAAAUUUCCCAAGUCAUCCAAAACGCAUCAGUGGCAGCAGCAACUUGAAUCUGGUCUUUAAAAAAUGGUUCAGAUACAUUUUUUUCACGUUUAUGUCUCCGCGCGCAUCACAGCACGCGCGUGGAAGUCUGAGGACAAACCCGGAAUCUGUUUACACUAGGCGGAGCCCGGGGAUUGAACUGGGUCUUCUGGGUUGGCGGCAGGUGCCUUUCUUUACUCGCGGUUUGGAUCCAGUCUUGAGGGGCGGUGGGGACCAUGCACGCAGAAUAUCCGCGAGUAGCGGCGGGCGCGCGCGGCAUUUCUCCCGCUCGCCGGGCGGCGGAAGGUCCCGGCGGGGACAGAGGCGGACAGCCCGCGGGCCCGGAGCCGAGCGUGAGAGCCGCCGCCCCGGGUCCCGCUCGCGCUGCCUUGCACAACGCGCCGGGAUAAGCGCCGCGUCUCGGGGCAAUUACCGCCCUGCCCCGCCGCCGCCGGGGCUGCCUGGGCCGGGGGCCAGAGGCCGAGGGACUCACAACCACCCAGGGAGCGCGGGCCGACCGAGCGGGCGGCCACCAGCGCGCCCGGCGAUUUCACAACGCGCGGCCGGGGGCGGUGGCUGCGGCGCGCUGACGUCACGGACAGGCCACGCCCCUACGGAGGGAGCGGUCUUCGCGGAAGAUAAAUUGUGUCCCUUUGGUAUGUCCUUUUCCUUCUUGUCUCCUUUUCUUGCCUUUUUUUUUUUUUUUCCUUUCUGGCAUCUCUUUCCCAAUCCUCUCUCCUUCCUCUCAUUUCCUCCUUCCCUUCCAUUCUCUUUCCUUCCUAUUUCCUGCCCUUUCUUUCUGCCCACUCUCCUUCUCCUCCUCUUUCUCCUUGCUUCUCUUCUUUUCUUUCCUUCUUCCUCUUGCUUUCUAACAUUCUACAAUGUUUAAAUUUCAUCUUUACUAUGAAACAAUCCAUAAAAUCUGCUUUCUCUCUCUCUCUCUCUCUCCCCUCUUUUCUCUUUCCUCUGCCACCUUGCUCUUUUCUCUCUCAAUAAACCUCACAUGGAACUGUAAAAGACAUAAAAAAUAAAAAUAAAAACUUGCUAUCUCAACUAAA